UACGUAGGGCGCAAGCGUUAUCCGGAAUUAUUGGGCGUAAAGAGCUCGUAGGCGGUUUGUCGCGUCGGUUGUGAAAACCCAAGGCUCAACCUUGGGCCUGCAAUCGAUACGGGCAGACUAGAGUACUGCAGGGGAGACUGGAAUUCCUGGUGUAGCGGUGGAAUGCGCAGAUAUCAGGAGGAACACCGGUGGCGAAGGCGGGUCUCUGGGCCGAUACUGACGCUGAGGAGCGAAAGCGUGGGGAG
rnacentral:rRNA from 1 species